rnacentral:tRNA from 14 species
AGUUGGCCUAGUUGGUAGAGCAACAGCCUUCAACAUGUGUGUCGUGGGUUCGAUUCCUGCCGGCA